rnacentral:rRNA from 1 species
UACAGAGGUCUCAAGCGUUUGUUCGGAUUCAUUGGGCGUAAAGGGUGCGUAGGUGGCGCCAUAAGUCGGGUGUGAAAUUUCGGAGCUUAACUCCGAAACUGCAUUCGAUACUGUGGUGCUUGAGGACUGGAGAGGAGACUGGAAUUCAUGGUGUAGCAGUGAAAUGCGUAGAGAUCAUGAGGAAGACCAGUGGCGAAGGCGGGUCUCUGGACAGUUCCUGACACUGAGGCACGAAGGCUAGGGGAGCAAACGGG